GGAUGUGAGGAUGAUCUGGCUGUGACAUCUGUUGCCCAUCGGUCCCCAGGGUUGAUGCAGCCAAUAUGGCUGGCUGGGCGGUGGUCCCGUCCUCCAUCACUCC
rnacentral:snRNA from 1 species